rnacentral:rRNA from 1 species
ACGCCUUAUACAUGCAAGUCGAACGAAGUAGCAAUACUUAGUGGCAGACGGGUGAGUAACAUGUGGGUAUCUUCCCUUUGGUGAGGAAUAACACGAGGAAACUUGUGCUAAUACCUCAUAAGUCUUUACGGAGAAAGCUUUAUGCGCCAAUGGAUGAGCCCGCACUUGAUUAGUUUGUUGGUGGGGUAAUGGCCUACCAAGACUUCGAUCAAUAGCUGAUUUGAGAGGAUGAUCAGCCACAUUGGGACUGAGACACGGCCCAAACUCCUACGGGAGGCAGCAGUAAGGAAUCUUGCACAAUGGAGGAAACUCUGAUGCAGCGAUGCCGCGUGAGUGAAGAAGGCCUUUGGGUUGUAAAGCUCUUUCGUCGGGGAAGAAAAUGACUGUACCCGAAUAAGAAGGUCCGGCUAACUUCGUGCCAGCAGCCGCGGUAAUACGAAGGGACCUAGCGUAGUUCGGAAUUACUGGGCUUAAAGAGUUCGUAGGUGGUUAAAAAAGUUGGUGGUGAAAUCCCAGAGCUUAACUCUGGAACUGCCAUCAAAACUUUUUAGCUAGAGUAUGAUAGAGGAAAGCAGAAUUUCUAGUGUAGAGGUGAAAUUCGUAGAUAUUAGAAAGAAUACCGAUUGCGAAGGCAGCUUUCUGGAUCAUUACUGACACUGAGGAACGAAAGCAUGGGUAGCGAAGAGGAUUAGAUACCCUCGUAGUCCAUGCUGUAAACGAUGUGUGUUAGACGUUGGAAAUUUAUUUUCAGUGUCGCAGCGAAAGCGAUAAACACACCGCCUGGGGAGUACGAC